rnacentral:lncRNA from 1 species
CUUCAUCCCUGCCGCUGGGCCCUGUCUGGCUCCUCCGGCUACCAGGCCCCCUCCCCUCUCUCCCCUGCAGCCCGUGUCCUUUGCCUCCUCAAGGACAUUUGCAACCAGAGUGUCAUCCGUUCACUCAGUCUGCAUUUCCCUCGAAAACACAAUCUUCAGCUUGAGAGGCCGCGCGCGCGCGCGCGCGCACACACACACACACACACACACACACACACACACACACACACCCUCCCUGUGCCGACCAGUCUCUCUCCAUGCCGGUGUCAAGAUGAGCCUGGAUUGAAACCUCACUCUGCUGUGUGUCUCUGGUCACAUUUGUCAACCUCUCUGAGCCUCGGGUUUCUUAUAAAAUGGGAAAAGCCAUCCAGAGCGGACGUAAAGGCCAGGGCUCACCUGGGAAGGCCCCGCAGGGAGCCUGGUGCCUGGUGGUCCAGUGGCCAGAGGCCCAGGGCCGUGCCUGGCACAUGGUGGACCUCGGCUGUUCUUGAGCGGGACUCGGGCCACCUCGGGCCAGCGGCACAAUUUGGGGCAGUGUCAGCCUCUGCAGCCCGGUCUCCUCCCUCACGGCCCCUCACGCUCCCCCGGUGGCCCCAACACACCAGCGAUUUGCACCUGUCUGCCUGCUCACCCUCUCCCGGACGUCAAAGUCCUGUCGCCUGCAGCUCCCCGUGGGGAUGUCCCCUGAUGUCGCCUGCUAACCUCAAAGCAGGCCCUCGGCACAGGUUCACGUGUCUUGCCCGUCUUCCCGAGAAACGCCAACUCCGGGGGACAGAGGCUGCUCCCGGCUCUCAUCCCCGAGCCCCGGCAGGACCACGGUACUGUCAGGUUGGACCGAAGGGGUCCAGAGGCUCUGUGAGCCUUAGGACAGCAGCGCGUGGCUCCGAACCGCCAGCCACAAACAGCGGCCAAGCCUCGUCCGCCAGUCGCGGACGUGAGGACACAGGGCGUCCCGGGCUCGAAGGGUCCCGGUGCGUCGGCCAGAGGAGUCGUUUGCUCGAAACUGUGCUCCGCGGGCCGAAGGCCCAGGAUUCCGGAGAGCCCUGCCCCAGGUCCGCGAGUGUUCCAGACGUGUUACUAGUGCGCAUCUCUAGCGCUCGCCGCAAGACACCGGGGCCGGGUUUCGGCAGCGCCUCCAGCCGCCGAGCUCGCACAGCGCAGCCUCAUUCCCCCGAACCGCACGGCCACUCGCCCAGACCGACUUGA